rnacentral:rRNA from 1 species
UAGGGAAUCUUCGGCAAUGGACGAAAGUCUGACCGAGCAACGCCGCGUGAGUGAAGAAGGUUUUCGGAUCGUAAAACUCUGUUGUUAGAGAAGAAUAAGGACGUUAGUAACUGAACGUCCCCUGACGGUAUCUAACCAGAAAGCCACGGCUAACUACGUGCCAGCAGCCGCGGUAAUACGUAGGUGGCAAGCGUUGUCCGGAUUUAUUGGGCGUAAAGCGAGCGCAGGCGGUUUCUUAAGUCUGAUGUGAAAGCCCCCGGCUCAACCGGGGAGGGUCAUUGGAAACUGGGAGACUUGAGUGCAGAAGAGGAGAGUGGAAUUCCAUGUGUAGCGGUGAAAUGCGUAGAUAUAUGGAGGAACACCAGUGGCGAAGGCGGCUCUCUGGUCUGUAACUGACGCUGAGGCUCGAAAGCGUGGGGAGCAAACAGG